rnacentral:rRNA from 1 species
CUAAGUUUGAUGGCGACCGGCGCACGGGUGAGUAACACGUAUCCAACCUGCCGAUAACUCCGGAAUAGCCUUUCGAAAGAAAGAUUAAUACCGGAUGGCAUACGAAUAUCGCAUGAUAUUUUUAUUAAAGAAUUUCGGUUAUCGAUGGGGAUGCGUUCCAUUAGUUUGUUGGCGGGGUAACGGCCCACCAAGACAACGAUGGAUAGGGGUUCUGAGAGGAAGGUCCCCCACAUUGGAACUGAGACACGGUCCAA